rnacentral:rRNA from 1 species
GGUCAAGUUAUUAAGGGUGCAGGGCGGAUGCCUUGGCACUAGGAGCCGAUGAAGGACGUGAUAAGCUGCGAUAAGCUUCGGGGAGUUGCACGUAAACUUUGAUCCGAAGAUUUCCGAAUGAGGAAACUCACUUAGAGUAAUGUCUAAGUAUCAUUAAGUGAAUACAUAGCUUAAUGAGGGGAACUCAGGGAACUGAAACAUCUAAGUACCUGAAGGAAGAGAAAGAAAUUCGAUUCCGUAAGUAGCGGCGAGCGAACGCGGAUUAGCCCAAACCAAUAAAGUUUUCUUUAUUGGGGUUGCG